GAUGAACGAUGGCGGCGUGCCUAAUACAUGCAAGUCGAGCGAACAGACGAGGAGCUUGCUCCUCUGACGUUAGCGGCGGACGGGUGAGUAACACGUGGAUAACCUACCUAUAAGACUGGGAUAACUUCGGGAAACCGGAGCUAAUACCGGAUAAUAUAUUGAACCGCAUGGUUCAAUAGUGAAAGACGGUUUUGCUGUCACUUAUAGAUGGAUCCGCGCCGCAUUAGCUAGUUGGUAAGGUAACGGCUUACCAAGGCAACGAUGCGUAGCCGACCUGAGAGGGUGAUCGGCCACACUGGAACUGAGACACGGUCCAGACUCCUACGGGAGGCAGCAGUAGGGAAUCUUCCGCAAUGGGCGAAAGCUUGACGGAGCAACGCCGCGUGAGUGAUGAAGGUCUUCGGAUCGUAAAACUCUGUUAUUAGGGAAGAACAAAUGUGUAAGUAACUAUGCACGUCUUGACGGUACCUAAUCAGAAAGCCACGGCUAACUACGUG
rnacentral:rRNA from 1 species